rnacentral:lncRNA from 1 species
UAAUUAGUUAAAGCGUUAAUUAAUUAAAGAAAUGGUGAUUAUGAACCUAAGCCUACGAUAAUUGAGCUAUGUGUAAGGCCGUCUCAAAUUUGUUUGAACCAUGGGAAUGUGUAGAUUAGAUUUUGGUUGUAAUAUGAUAUGAUCAAAUGUUGUAAAAGAGCAUAAGCUCUUCUUUACUUUGAAGUACUCAUUUCUUGUUUUAUUUGAUAUGCAUGAAAUUGGAGUAGUUAGGUCCAACGCCCAAUAGGAAAAACACGCCUUA